rnacentral:miRNA from 1 species
GUGAUAUGUAUGUGUGCAUGUGAAUAUGUAUGUGUGGAUACACACAUUCACAGGUGCACAUGCCAGGUACGCAGAA